CCGUUUGCCCGGGCGACCGGGCGCACGGGUGAGUAACACGUAUGCAACCUGCCCGUGGCAGGGGGAUAAGCGGGGGAAACCCCGUCUAAUACCGCGUAACGCGGCCUAGGGACAUCCCAAGGCCGCCAAAGGGAGCAAUCCCGGCCACGGAUGGGCAUGCGGCGCAUUAGCUAGUCGGCGGGGUAACGGCCCACCGUGGCGACGAUGCGUAGGGGUUCUGAGAGGAAGGUCCCCCACACUGGUACUGAGACACGGACCAGACUCCUACGGGAGGCAGCAG
rnacentral:rRNA from 1 species